rnacentral:rRNA from 1 species
ACGGUAUCGUAAGAAUAAGGAUCGGCUAACUCCGUGCCAGCAGCCGCGGUAAUACGGAGGAUCCAAGCGUUAUCCGGAAUCAUUGGGUUUAAAGGGUCCGUAGGCGGUUUGGUAAGUCAGUGGUGAAAGCCCAUCGCUCAACGGUGGAACGGCCAUUGAUACUGCCAGACUUGAAUUACUGGGAAGUAACUAGAAUAUGUAGUGUAGCGGUGAAAUGCUUAGAGAUUACAUGGAAUACCAAUUGCGAAGGCAGGUUACUACCAGUAGAUUGACGCUGAUGGACGAAAGCGUGGGUAGCGAACAGGAUUAGAUACCCUGGUAGUCCACGCCGUAAACGAUGGAUACUAGCUGUUGGGAGUAAUCUCAGUGGCUAAGCGAAAGUGAUAAGUAUCCCACCUGGGGAGUACGAACGCAAGUUUGAAACUCAAAGGAAUUGACGGGGGCCCGCACAAGCGGUGGAGCAUGUGGUUUAAUUCGAUGAUACGCGAGGAACCUUACCAAGGCUUAAAUGUAGAUUGACCGGUUUGGAAACAGACUUUUCGCAAG